rnacentral:rRNA from 1 species
UACGAAGGGGGCUAGCGUUGUUCGGAUUUACUGGGCGUAAAGCGCACGUAGGCGGAUCUUUAAGUCAGAGGUGAAAUCCCAAGGCUCAACCUUGGAACUGCCUUUGAUACUGGGGAUCUUGAGUCCGGGAGAGGUGAGUGGAACUGCGAGUGUAAGAGGUGAAAUUCGUAGAUAUUCGCAAGAACACCAGUGGCGAAGGCGGCUCACUGGCCCGGUACUGACGGCUGAGGUGCGAAAGCGUGGGGAGCAAACAGG